ACAGGCUUCAGGGGAUGACUUGGGUGUGCACACGCAUUCACACAUGUGCGUGCAUGGGCAUGGGAUGCAGAUACACAAGUAUGUGCACACUCCCACACCUGCGGAGGUGUACCUGGGACACAGGCUCCUAGGGGUGCACACACACCCACACCUGCAGAGGUGUGCCUGGGACACGGGCUCCUAGGGGUGCACACUCCCACAUCUGCAGAGGUGUGCCUGGGACACGGGCUCCUAGGGGUGCGCACUCCCACACCUGCAGAGGUGUGCCUGGGACAGGGCUCCUAGGGGUGCUCACUCCCACACCUGCAGAGGUGUACCUGGGACAGGGCUCCUAGGGGUGCACACUCCCACACCUGCAGAGGCUCCUGGGCUGUGCACACCCCCAGGCCUGCCUGCCUGCCUGCGGACAUGCAUACACCAGUGAGUGCUGCUCGGGUCAUUCCAGAACCGACCCAGUGCACACACACACACACACACACACCCCGUGCCCAAGUGCACA